rnacentral:rRNA from 1 species
UACGAAGGGGGCUAGCGUUGCUCGGAAUCACUGGGCGUAAAGGGCGCGUAGGCGGCGUUUUAAGUCGGGGGUGAAAGCCUGUGGCUCAACCACAGAAUGGCCUUCGAUACUGGGACGCUUGAGUAUGGUAGAGGUUGGUGGAACUGCGAGUGCAGAGGUGAAAUUCGUAGAUAUUCGCAAGAACACCGGUGGCGAAGGCGGCCAACUGGACCAUUACUGACGCUGAGGCGCGAAAGCGUGGGGAGCAAACAGG